rnacentral:rRNA from 1 species
GACGAACGCUGGCGGCGUGCUUAACACAUGCAAGUCGAACGGAAAGGCCCUUCGGGGUACUCGAGUGGCGAACGGGUGAGUAACACGUGGGUGAUCUGCCCUGCACUUUGGGAUAAGCCUGGGAAACUGGGUCUAAUACCGAAUAGGACCACGCGCUUCAUGGUGUGUGGUGGAAAGCUUUUGCGGUGUGGGAUGGGCCCGCGGCCUAUCAGCUUGUUGGUGGGGUAAUGGCCUACCAAGGCGACGACGGGUAGCCGGCCUGAGAGGGUGACCGGCCACACUGGGACUGAGAUACGGCCAAGACUCCUACGGGAGGCAGCAGUGGGGAAUAUUGCACAAUGGGCGCAAGCCUGAUGCAGCGACGCCGCGUGAGGGAUGACGGCCUUCGGGUUGUAAACCUCUUUCAAUAGGGACGAAGCGCAAGUGACGGUACCUAUAGAAGAAGCACCGGCCAACUACGUG